GGAUGAGAGGAAGAGAGAUAAGAAAAUAAACCUACAAAAGUAGUUUGGAAUCAAGUCAUGUAGGUGUAGGUCAUAAUAUAUUGAGAGUAUGGAUUGCAUUUCACCAGGAGAAUGCUGCUCUUUGGUGGAAUUUUAAUGUCCUUUUUCUAUGGGAAUGACUGGUGGCAGACUUGCCUUCAUGACACAUAUAUUUAUUAAGUGCAGCAAUGGGCCAAGUACUGGGUGAGGUGAUAGUGAAAAGAAUCAGAGAAGAGAAGAAUUAGGCAUUACUUAUGUACUUGAGUAGUUCUUCAUUUAGUGGAAUAAAAAUAAUUAAGUUCAGGGUCUGUCCACAGUAUACCAACUCUUUCCUCUGCUUUGGGGCAUGGGGAGUAUUUCCCUGCAGUCUGAGUCUUGAUAUGGAAGUAAUACUUAAUCAGGCAGAAAAAGUGAGGCAUGAAGUUCUCAUCAUGUAAGCGAAAGAACAUGCUGUUUUGGAAUAACAUAAGCUAUGAGAAGAUACAAAGUGCUAGGUACAGCAUGUGUAGUCUGAGCUACAUCUUCUCUCUAUUGUACUAGUGGCAAGAGAUAGGUAAAGGAAUUAAUUUUUUAUGUAGAUUUCUAAAGGCAUAGAUAUUAUUCAGCAAUUGCUAAGUGCAGAAGAGAUUAGGUUUGUUUUUUUUUUUUUUUAGAUUUUUAUUUAUUUAUUAAUGAGAGACACAGAAAGAGGCAGAGACACAGGCAGAGGGAGAAGCAGGCUCCAUGCAGGGAGCCCGAUGCAGGACUCGUUCCCAGAAUUCCAGGAUCAUGCCCUGAGCCCAAGGCAGACCGCUUAACCGCUGAGCCACCCAGGCAUCCCAAGAGAUUAGUUUAAAUGCCAGAGUAAGUGAAGGUACCAGGGGUUGAUAACAGCCAUAGUUAUACAGGAAUAGGAAUGUUGACUGAGUCUCAACACUGCUGUUUAUGAUUUACAUCACCGUGACUUACUCUUUGAAACCAAUGCUACAGAAACUCCUCCUCUAUGCCCAUCAGUCUUCAAAGAUCACUUCCAACCUUAAAGAAAUCACAUUAUGUUUUCCAUGUUAAUUUAUUUCUCUGCUUCUGGUCUAUGGGAAGAGUGGUCCUUAAGGGUAGGAGUACUUUAUCUCUAAUCCCAAUGCAGCACAUAGGAUCACAGGAUGUGGAAUACAGAAGGAAUUUAAGAGUUUCUUUUCCUCUCAGUAACAUGCCAGUCUAGGGACGCCUGGGUGGCUCAGUGGUUGAACAUCUGCCUUUGGCUCAGGGCAUAAUCCUGGGGUCCUGGGAUCGAGUCCUGCAUCAUGCUCUCUGCAGGGAGCUUGCUUCUCCCUCUGCCUAUGUCUCUGCCUCUCUUUCUAUAUCUCUCAUGAAUAAAUAAAUAAAAUCUUUAAAAAUAAAAAUAUAAUAUAAUAAUAUGCCAGUCUAGAAUCAUGUUUCCUUUCUACUCCCCAGCACCUAACCCACUGUCUGCCACAUUAGAGAGUACCAAUAAAUAUUAAGAUGAAGGAGUGAAUGAAAAUAUGUAACAUCAGCCUAGGUAUUAAAUGGCAAGAGGUAAUAAAUAUAUUCUGACUUGCCAUAGCUUCUGAUACAGCACAGGUAAGCAAAACAUACCUGAGUCAAAAAAUACCUCAGGAGAGUGUGUGUUUAAUACACCAUUUAGGGACACCUCGGGUGGCUCAGUGCUUGAGAAUCUGCCUUGGGCUCAGAUCUUGAUCCCAGGAUCCUGGGACCAAGUCCUGCAUUGGGCUCCCCACAGGGAGCCUGCUUCUCCUUCUGUCUGUCUCUGUCUCUCUCUCUAUUUAUGUCUCUCAUGAAUAGAUAAAUAAAAUCUUAAAAAAAAAAGGAGAUAUUAUUCCUGUUACACAGAAAAGAAAACUGAAGCAUGAAGAGGGAUUUUUGAGGAGACCAGUUUAUGACCUAUGUUCUUUGUACUAUAUGGAUCAUUUCUUCAUUUGUCAGCCUUCUGUUGGCCAUCAUAAGACUCAACUCCAGGCUCUUUCUCUUUCUCUUUUGUUCCUGCCUCCAGCUGUUCUGCCUCAUUCAGAAAGGUAUAGAUUUUCUGAUGGGAGAUAGGUACUUUAAGGGUGGCCUCUCAAUGGGCUUAACUAUUAAAAAUGCUAUUUCUGUAUUUAUCCUGGGUUUGGGGAAGGCUCAGAGGAAACCCCUCCUCACUCUAUUCUAAAGAAGUUAGUGUCAGCACUUAGGAAUCACAAUACAAUGUUUUAAUGGAGAAGGAGCCCAGAGACCAUUACCAGAAGUUACUAAAUGUCAAGACCAUGGAGGCAGUCUUUAUGGAUUUCUUUAAAAAGCUUCAUUAACUUGACUAAUUGAAAAGUAGAGAUUUGCAGACUUGUCUGGUUUGGGGGUGAGAAGACAAAGUCAAUAGGAUGUGUGUGUGGGACAUGUGGGGCUGUGAUAAGCCACUAACCAUUCCUGGCAGAUGGACAAUAUGUUUGCAUUCAGUCCACUGCAAACAAGGGUGUUAAGUGAAGCAGCAGCAUUUAGCAGGACAAGCCACAGAUUUGGAGUCACUCUGAACAGGACAACAAUUCUAAGUCUACCAAUUAUAAACCUUGGGAGUAUAAAAUAAUUACUUAAAUUCUCUGAGUUUAAUUCUUACUUUUGUAAAAUAGGGAAUAUUCCACCUUUACAUGGUCUUUAUGAUAAUUCAUACUAAUGGACUCUGGGUUAGAGAUAGUGGAGUGAAAACACACUACCUUUAUUCCCUUAAUGGAAAUUAAAGAUGUCUUAAAUUGUACAAACCCACAGAGGAGAUUAGAAGAGAAGAGGAGAUAAAAGCAAUAUUAUUUUGAGAGCUGUGAAGCUGAUAGACAACUGUUAGGAGAUAGCUCCGAGGAAGCUGAAUCCUACACCAGUAAUGAGGAAAAUGAUAAGCCAUUGGUUAUAUAAUGCAUAGAAAACCCUCUCAGGGAAAAAAAAAAAAGGUGGAGAUUGAGUAUCAGUACUUUUGGGAAUGGGGAUAAAAGCAAAAAUUUUAAAAGACUGAUUGAAAGUAUGUGAAAGAAGCAAUUAAAUCUUCAUAUAAUCUUCAUAUAAUUUUCAUAUAAUCUCCCCACUUUACUUUCCAACUAUUAGAAGACUAAAUAGGGUAAAAUAAGGUUUCCUGGUAAGAAGUUAUCAGCCAUGGUUGUCAGAGCAGUGCUACACUGAAAAUAGAGGAGUUAAGUGUGUUUGCACACAGAAUAUUGAGACCUACUGUUCUCUCUUCCCUAUCUUUUGGAAAGGUUCCAGACAGUAGUGUGGAAAUUCUCUUCCAGAGGAAACUGAUUAACCCCAGAGGAGAAGCAUAAAGUAAACAAACCAGCCAAAAAACCUGCUAUUAUCCCACAGUCUACAAGUCUCACACAUUUGUUCAAACUUCCAAAUAGAUGUUUUAGUUUCCCCACUCUUAAAUAUAAGAAGAUAAUUAAAAGUCACAGGAAACUGAAGAAUGCCCUAAUAUGAAAGAUAAGUAACAAACCAACAGAAAGAAAAAGCAAUUCUGAAUAAACUAAAACCAUAAAAAGAAAACAAACAAAAAUCAUUGACAACCUCAGAAGAAUAGGAGAAAAUAGUCUAUUAAAGAUAAGAUGUUCUAAUAUGGUAUAUUUAGGAUACAAAGAACUCUUAGUAAUUAUAUGUAGUUAUUUUAUAUAUUUUGUAUAUAGUUAUAUUAAUACAUUAUAAUGCAUAAUAUACAUAUGAUUUUAUGUUUUAUAGAGUAACAUAUAUAGAUGUGAUAUCAGAAAUCAAAAUUCAAGAAAACACUUCAAAUAUUAAGUUGAAGAAAUAUUACUGAAGGGGAACAAAAAUAUAAAGAGAAGGAAAAUUAGAGAAAAAAAAAGUAUGAAAAUUAGAAUUAUAGGUGGUCUGUCAUCAAAAUAAUAAGAGUUUCAGAACGAUCACAACCAA
rnacentral:lncRNA from 1 species